GUGCUUGCUUCAGCAGUACAUAUACUAUAAUUAGAACGAUACAGAGAAGAUUAGCAUGGCCUCUGCACAAAGAUGACACACAAAUUCAUGAAGUGUUCCAUAUUUUU
ensembl:snRNA U6 U6 spliceosomal RNA